rnacentral:rRNA from 1 species
CAACUACCCAACAGACCGUGAUAACCUCGGGAAACUGAGGCUAAUAACGGAUAGUGCUCCCGAGCUGGAAUGGUGGGAGCGCGAAAGCUCCGGCGCUGUUGGAUGUGGCUGCGGCCGAUUAGGUAGACGGUGGGGUAACGGCCCACCGUGCCGAUAAUCGGUACGGGUUGUGAGAGCAAGAGCCCGGAGACGGACUCUGAGACAAGAGUCCGGGCCCUACGGGGCGCAGCAGGCGCGAAACCUUUACACUGUACGCAAGUACGAUAGGGGGACACCGAGUGCGAGGGCAUAGAGCCCUCGCUUUUGUACACCGUAAGGUGGUGCACGAAUAAGGGCUGGGCAAGACCGGUGCCAGCCGCCGCGGUAACACCGGCAGCCCAAGUGAUGGCCGCUAUUAUUGGGCCUAAAGCGUCCGUAGCUGGCCGUUCAGGUCCGUCGGGAAAUCCACUGGCUUAACCAGUGGGCGUCCGGCGGAAACCGUUCGGCUUGGAACAGGGAGACCAGAGGGGUACGUCCGGGGUAGGAGUGAAAUCCCGUAAUCCUGGACGGACCAUCGGUGGCGAAAGCGCCUCUGGAGAACUGAUUCGACAGUGAGGGACGAAAGCUGGGGUCUCGAACCGGAUUAGAUACCCGGGUAGUCCCAGCCGUAAACGAUGCUCGCUAGGUGUGUC